AAGUCGAGCGGCGAGCCGUAGCAAUACGGCCUAGAGCGGCGGACUGGUGAGUAACGCGUGGGUGACCUACCUAGAGGUUGGGGAUAGCCGUUAGAAAUAGCGGGUAAUACCGGAUAUGGUUAUUUUUGCUUUGGCGAGAUAAAGAAAGGGGCUUUGGCCCCGCCUUUAGAUGGGCCCGCGUCCCAUUAGGUAGUUGGUGAGGUAAGGGCCCACCAAGCCUGAGAUGGGUAGCCGGCCUGAGAGGGUGAACGGCCACACUGGGACUGAGAUACGGCCCAGACUCCUACGGGAGGCAGCAGCUAAGAAUAUUCCGCAAUGGGCGAAAGCCUGACGGAGCGACGCCGCGUGGAUGAGGAAGGCCGAAAGGUUGUAAAAUCCUUUUGCCGUUGAAGAAUAAGGCGGGGAGGGAAUGCCCUGCUGAUGACGUUAGGCGGCGAAUAAGCCCCGGCUAAUUACGUGCCAGCAGCCGCGGUAACACGUAAGGGGCGAGCGUUGUUCGGAAUUAUUGGGCGUAAAGGGCGCGUAGGCGGCUGUGCAAGUCUGGCGUGAAAUGGCGGGGCUCAACCCCGUGAUGGCGCUGGAAACUGCGGAGCUUGAGUCAUGGAGGGGGAGUUGGAAUUCCGCGUGUAGGGGUGAAAUCUGUAGAUAUGCGGAAGAACACCGGUGGCGAAGGCGAAC
rnacentral:rRNA from 1 species